AUUGAACGCUGGCGGCAGGCCUAACACAUGCAAGUCGAGCGAGCGGCGGACGGGUGAGUAAUGUCUGGGAAACUGCCUGAUGGAGGGGGAUAACUACUGGAAACGGUAGCUAAUACCGCAUACCAUCAGAUGUGCCCAGAUGGGAUUAGCUAGUAGGUGGGGUAAUGGCUCACCUAGGCGACGAUACCUCGCUGGUCUGAGAGGAUGACCAGCCACACUGGAACUGAGACAAGGUCCAGACUCCUACGGGAGGCAGCAGGGGGGAAUAUGGCACAAGGGGCGCAAGCCUGAUACAGCCAUGCCGCGUGUGUGAAGAAGGCCUUCGGGUUGUAAAGCACUUUCAGCGAGGAGGCGUUACUCGCAGAAGAAGCACCGGCUAACUCCGUGCCAGCAGCCGCGGUAAUAC
rnacentral:rRNA from 1 species